AGAGUUGUAUCCUGGCUCAGAUUGAACGCUGGCGGCAUGCCUUACACAUGCAAGUCGAACGGUAACAGGUCUUCGGAUGCUGACGAGUGGCGAACGGGUGAGUAAUACAUCGGAACGUGCCCGAUCGUGGGGGAUAACGCAGCGAAAGCUGUGCUAAUACCGCAUAAGAUCUAAGGAUGAAAGCGGGGGACUCGUAAGGGCCUCGCGCGAACGGAGCGGCCGAUGGCAGAUUAGGUAGUUGGUGGGAUAAAAGCUUACCAAGCCGACGAUCUGUAGCUGGUCUGAGAGGACGACCAGCCACACUGGGACUGAGACACGGCCCAGACUCCUACGGGAGGCAGCAGUGGGGAAUUUUGGACAAUGGGCGCAAGCCUGAUCCAGCAAUGCCGCGUGCAGGAUGAAGGCCUUCGGGUUGUAAACUGCUUUUGUACGGAGCGAAAAGGUUCUGGUUAAUACCUGGGGCCCAUGACGGUACCGUAAGAAUAAGCACCGGCUAACUACGUGCCAGCAGCCGCGGUAAUACGUAGGGUGCGAGCGUUAAUCGGAAUUACUGGGCGUAAAGCGUGCGCAGGCG
rnacentral:rRNA from 1 species